rnacentral:misc_RNA from 1 species
GGCAAAAAACUAUCUUGGCUCAUUUAUUUUAGUACCUUUUCAUUUUCUCUUUGGGCAACUAAAUCAUUUUUUCUCAACUUUCUCUCAAUUUUUUACACAACCAACCAAAUUGAAAUAAUUCAUUUCUCUACAAAUUUUUGAGCUCAAGAGCAUGGACCAUCAAAUAGAUAAGGCAAUUUUGAAGUAAAGGAGAUUGAAGGGAAAAUUAUUUUUUUUUUCUAAUUUUUAGCUAU